AUUGAACGCUGGCGGCAGGCUUAACACAUGCAAGUCGAACGAGUGGCGUACGGGUACGUAAUAUCUGGGAAAGUGCCUGGUGGCGGGGGAUAACUACUGGAACGAGUAGCUAAUACCGCAUACCAUCCGAUGUGCACAUAUGGGAUUAGCUAGUUGGUGAGGUAAUGUCUCACCAAGGCGCCGAUCCCUAGCUUGUCUUAGCUGAUGAUCAGCCACACUUGACCUGAGACACGGUCCACAUUCAUACGCAAGGUAGCAGUGGGGAAUAUUGCACAAUAGGCGCAACCCUGAUGCAGCCAUGCCGCGUGUAUGAAGAAGGCCCUCGGGUUUUACAGUACUUUCAGCGCGGAGGCGUUACCCGCAGAAGAAACACCGGCUAACUCCGUGCCAGCAGCCGCGGUAAUAC
rnacentral:rRNA from 1 species